AGAGACUGUGGCUCCAUGGUAGAGCCUCUGUUUGGAAUGCAGAAGGACCCAUGUUCAAUCCUUGGCACCUCCA
rnacentral:tRNA from 1 species